CUAGGCUGAGGAAGAACUUCACAAGAGCAAAGCUGUUCAUGUCAUGUGUAAUAGCCAACCUGUUCAGCCUUCCCAUGGUGUUUGAUGGCACUCCUACUGAUCUUACAGCUUUCCAUGGAAGAUGUCUCUACAGACAAGCAACGAUACAAGAGGGGGAGAUUACUAAUUGGCUGCUAUUCAAUAACAGAGAGUAUGAUCAACAGUUAGGCUACUCUGAGUAAAUUUAACAUAAUUGUUUGAAUGUGGUCUCCCAUCUCUUUCAGUC
rnacentral:lncRNA from 1 species